GCGCUUUUAAAGAAUGGUCGAUUUGGAGGUUGUGCCCUUGAGGCGUGGCUUCCGAAGCUAACGCGUUAAAUCGACCGCCUGGGGAGUACGGCCGCAAGGUUAAAACUCAAAUGAAUUGACGGGGGCCCGCACAAGCGGUGGAGCAUGUGGUUUAAUUCGAUGCAACGCGAAGAACCUUACCUACUCUUGACAUCCAGCGAAUCCUGUAGAGAUACGGGAGUGCCUUCGGGAACGCUGAGACAGGUGCUGCAUGGCUGUCGUCAGCUCGUGUUGUGAAAUGUUGGGUUAAGUCCCGCAACGAGCGCAACCCUUAUCCUUUGUUGCCAGCGGUUCGGCCGGGAACUCAAAGGAGACUGCCAGUGAUAAACUGGAGGAAGGUGGGGAUGACGUCAAGUCAUCAUGGCCCUUACGAGUAGGGCUACACACGUGCUACAAUGGCGUAUACAAAGAGAAGCGAACUCGCGAGAGCAAGCGGACCUCAUAAAGUACGUCGUAGUCCGGAUUGGAGUCUGCAACUCGACUCCAUGAAGUCGGAAUCGCUAGUAAUCGUGGAUCAGAAUGCCACGGUGAAUACGUUCCCGGGCCUUGUACACACCGCCCGUCACACCAUGGGAGUGGGUUGCAAAAGAAGUAGGUAGCU
rnacentral:rRNA from 1 species